UGAGGAAUAUUGGUCAAUGGGCGCAAGCCUGAACCAGCCAUCCCGCGUGCAGGAAGACGGCCCUAUGGGUUGUAAACUGCUUUUCCAGGGAGCGAAACUUGCGUACGCGUUGCGCAAUUGACGGUACCCUGGGAAUAAGCAUCGGCUAACUCCGUGCCAGCAGCCGCGGUAAUACGGAGGAUGCGAGCGUUAUCCGGAUUCAUUGGGUUUAAAGGGUGCGUAGGCGGACUAUUAAGUCAGUGGUGAAAUCCUGCAGCUUAACUGCAGAACUGCCAUUGAUACUGAUAGCCUUGAGUUUGGUUAAGGUAGGCGGAAUGUGUAAUGUAGCGGUGAAAUGCUUAGAUAUUACACAGAACACCAAUUGCGAAGGCAGCUUACUGGGCCAUUACUGACGCUGAUGCACGAAAGCGUGGGGAGCGAACA
rnacentral:rRNA from 1 species